rnacentral:rRNA from 1 species
UACGGUAGGGUCCGAGCGUUGUUCCGGAAUUACUGGGGCGUAAAAGAGCUCGUAGGUGGUUUGUUCGCGUUGUCCGUGAAAACUCAACAGCGUCAACUGUCGGGCGUGCGGGCGAUACGGGCAGACUGGAGUACUGCAGGGGAGACGUGGAAGUUCCUGGUGUAGCGGUGGAAAUGCGCAGAUAUCAGGAGGAACACCGGUGGCGAAGGCGGGUCUCUGGCAGUAACUGA